UGGGCUGGGCUGGGCUGGGCUGGGCUAACCCUAACCCUAACCCUAGCCCGGCCGCCUCACCUUUCAUAACAACACUGACACGACUGUCUCUCCUAUUUGGAUUGGAACCUGAAGACACUCGAGCUUGUUUUCAUACAUUCUGCAUAUCGGAGAGAAGUGACUCUUUGAUCGAUACAUUCCUUUAUGGGCUGUGAUUAAGAAAACUUCAACCUGGCAUAAAAACACAGUGGGAAUGUCGCACCGUAAAACCUUUUCCAAUUUCUGUCUGGGGACUUUGAAAGGCGAGUGAGAAAAAAACAACUGAGUCGCACUGUAAAACCUUUUCCAAUUUCCGUCUGGGGACUUUGAAAGCCAAGUGAGAAAAGAGAAAAAAAAAAAAAAAAGAGUCUGGCGAUUUCAUUUUGAAUCAUUUCAACUCUGACUUGUAACACAUUUGCACAUCCUCGUUCAGCAUUUGGUGACUGACACGGCUCCUGUCAUCGAGUAAGCUAUCACUCGCGGCGGGCCUUUUCAUUCAAAUGAAAAAUGACGUGAUCGCCAUGAUGUCACAUGAGACUUUGUGGUCGUAUGUUACACCUUUGAUAAUUUCUUGCUUUUGAAACCUUUCCAUUGACUAAUCUCAUCAUCGGUGGCCUGUGCUAAUAUUCUUGGCAACAUUUUGGACUGGUGCAGUGUAUUUGGCCUCCAAGGAGACAGCCGUUCCCAACUUUGCUCCAUCUUGUUUGGCGUGCGAGUUCAUUGGCUCAUUUGUUCUCGUGAGCGUGGGCGAGAAGGUGCGCCGCCAAAAGCUAAAUAUAGAACUGGCUGCUUAUUGGCUGGCACCGGACAGAGUCUAUUAUGAGAAAAGCCCUCGGCGGCGGCGCUGCCAAAAAGAAAGUGCCUCUGGCCUGUGGCACUGAGUCAAUGAGCAAGAGGUUAUGUGAUUGUUGCCUCCAUUUUCCGUCUGUCUGUCUGUCGAGCAGAAUUUUGCGUGUCAAGUGUGAUCCAAGGUGUGAUGGAAUGAAGGAAUUAGUAGCGCACUUCUAAAUCAGGGUGGUUCUUAACUAAGGUGAAAGCUACGUGGAAGCAGAAAGAUGAGCAAAUAAAAAACUGUUGGGAUUGGCUGGAGCAAGGCAUCCGUGGUUUCCACAAGAAAAAGAUGGCUGGCUGGCUGGCUGGCUGGCUGGCAUGUGUUCAGCGAGGCCGUAGAAAAUAACUGCAAACAGCUUCUGGAAAGACGUGUGAUGAUGGUUUGUGUCCGUUCAUCCGCAAGUGAGGCCAGACAAUGACGUUGGACGAGAUGGCCUGCUUUCCCGGGGUCGGGGCGAGGCCACUGGGACAGUCAAGUUACACCCUCAUCUGACCUCAUGACGGCGUUCCGUCGUCACUGGCUUCGCCGCCGCCGUGCAGCCGGCCACUUGCAGUGCCGGCAACCGUCGAGACCAUGCGUGACAAGAAGAAUGUACCUGGGCCACUUUGACUUGCUUAAAGACCCAAAUUGGUCAGAAAAAUAAACAUCUCAAGAAACAUG